rnacentral:rRNA from 1 species
AUACGGAGGGUGCAAGCGUUACUCGGAAUUACUGGGCGUAAAGCGUACGUAGGCGGUCCGUUAAGUUAGAUGUGAAAGCCCCGGGCUUAACCUGGGUACUGCAUUUAAAACUGGCGAACUAGAGUUGAGUAGAGGGGAGUGGAAUUUCAGGUGUAGCGGUGAAAUGCGUAGAGAUCUGAAGGAACACCAGUGGCGAAGGCGACUCCCUGGACUCGAACUGACGCUGAGGUACGAAAGCGUGGGUAGCAAACGGGAUUAGAAACCCUAGUAGUCC